UCGAAGUUAAUAGCGUGAGGAGAGGAUAUGCCAAUCCCCAAGUCAACGCAUUCAAUUUCUGGUCAAUACAGAAAAGAAUUCAAUCAAUAAAGGGGUGAUGAGUGAAUUUUGUGUGGAUGGAAACGAAUAUGAAUAACAAUCUGCGCAAAGCAACCCUGAAGAAUGGCAAGGAAUCCAAACCACAUAAGGUUCCCUUUUCUACAACCAAUUUUGGAAUCCAAAUAACAAUUAUUGUAGCUUCAAGUUCAUUUGUUUGGUCGGAUUAGGCCGUGGAAAUAUUGAUUCAUCGACAGAAAUGGGGUCGAAAUAAGACAAGAACUAGUCGGUGAAUGGGUUUGGUGAGCUGAUUCUUGCUCUACCCAACCAUUGAUCGCCACAACACAACCCACCCAUUUGGCUUCUUUCCUUUCUUCAUCCCUUUUCCUUCUUUUCUCAAAGAAAACCCCCAAUUUCAGCCGGUCGUCGUCUCAGCGAUUUGGAUGAAGAAGUAGACUGAGUAAGCAGAGGAGCAAAUGGGCUUGAUCAGUAAUCGAGUAGAGAGAAGCGCAAUCAAACCAGGCGACCACAUUUACACUUACAGAGCUGUUUUCGCCUACUCCCAUCAUGGAAUCUUUGUAGGGGGAAGCAAGGUGGUGCAUUUUAGGCCUCAGAGAAACUUGAAUUCAAGCACCGACACACCUCCUGAGUUCUAUGAUUCAAGUUCAAGCAAUCCAUCAUCCUGUCCAAUCUUCCCUGACUGUGGGUUUAGACAGCCAAACAGCGGGGUAGUCCUUUCUUGUCUGGACUGCUUCCUGAGGAAUGGAUCCCUCUACUGCUUUGAGUAUGGAGUCACCCCGUCAGUUUUCCUCUCCAGGGUAAGGGGUGGGACAUGCACCACGGCAGCAUCCGACUCAUUUGAUAUGGUCAUUCACCGAGCCAUGUAUCUUCUUCAAAAUGGAUUUGGUAACUACAAUGUGUUCCAAAACAACUGUGAGGACUUUGCUCUGUACUGCAAAACGGGUGUUCUGAUAGAGGACAGGCUUGGGGUUGGAAUAAGUGGCCAAGCUUCUUCUGCCGUAGGUGCUCCAUUAGCUGCCAUUCUUUCCUCUCCUCUGAAGUUACUAAUGCCAAGCCCUGUAGGCAUGGCUGUGAUGACUGCUGGAAUGUACAGCAUGAGUAGAUACGCCACUGACAUUGGUGUUCGAACUGAUGUGGUUAAGGUGGCCGUGGAACACCUGCCACUUAACAAUCUCAAAUCAUUGAGCACAGAAGAAGAAGAUGAAGAUGAUGAAGAAGAAGCCUUCACCUAGAAAUGCUGCAGGUGACAUCAACUCCAUUUUCUGGUCCGUGGAGCAUCAGAUCACACGUGGAUGCAGCAUCAAAUCACACGAUGGUCGGAGAGAAACGAAACAUUUCUUAUAAAGUAAGCUUGGGAGAUUACAUUUAUAGCGGUUUGUUUUGUCUAUUUCUAUUGGACUUAUUAGACUAGGUUUGGAUGAUUAGUUUCGGGUUCUUAAUUACAAUAUAUUUCACUUUACUUGUAAUGUAAUAUUAAAAAAAAAGCACUUAUCCAACUUUGAAACUCUAUGAUA